rnacentral:rRNA from 1 species
AGCGGCAGCGCGGGGCAACCUGGCGGCGAGCGGCGAACGGGUGAGUAAUGCAUCGGAACAUGUCCAUGUCGUGGGGGAUAGCCCGGCGAAAGCCGGAUUAAUACCGCAUACGCCCGAGAGGGGAAAGCCGGGGACCGCAAGGCCUGGCGCGAUUGGGUUGGCCGAUGUCCGAUUAGCUAGUUGGCGGGGUAAGAGCCCACCAAGGCGAUGAUCGGUAGCUGGUCUGAGAGGAUGAUCAGCCACACUGGGACUGAGACACGGCCCAGACUCCUACGGGAGGCAGCAGUGGGGAAUUUUGGACAAUGGGGGCAACCCUGAUCCAGCCAUUCCGCGUGAGUGAAGAAGGCCUUCGGGUUGUAAAGCUCUUUUGUCCGGAACGAAACGGUUGGCGUGAAUAUCGCCGACUACUGACGGUACCGGAAGAAUAAGCACCGGCUAACUACGUGCCAGCAGCCGCGGUAAUACGUAGGGUGCGAGCGUUAAUCGGAAUUACUGGGCGUAAAGCGUGCGCAGGCGGUUUUGUAAGCCAGAUGUGAAAUCCCCGGGCUCAACCUGGGAAUGGCAUUUGGGACUGCAAGGCUGGAGUUUGGCAGAGGAGACUGGAAUUCCCGGUGUAGCAGUGAAAUGCGUAGAUUUCGGGGAGGAAUACCGAUGGCGAAGGCAGGUCUCUGGGCUAUAACUGACGCUCAUGCACGAAAGCGUGGGGAGCAAAACAGGAUUAGAUACCCUGGUAGUCCACGCCCUUAAACGAUGUCGACUGGUUGU